CCUACGGGUGGCAGCAGUGAGGAAUAUUGGUCAAUGGCCGUAAGGCUGAACCAGCCAAGUAGCGUGAAGGAUGACUGCCCUACGUGUUGUAAGCUUCUUUUAUAAAGGAGUAAAGUGAGGCACGUGUGCCUUUUUGUAUGUACUUUAUGAAUAAGGAUCGGCUAACUCCGUGCCAGCAGCCGCGGUAAUACGGAGGAUCCGAGCGUUAUCCGGAUUUAUUGGGUGGAAAGGGAGCGUAGAUGGGUUGUUAAGUCAGUUGUGAAAGUUUGCGGCUCAACCGUAAAAUUGCAAUUGAUACUGGCAGUCUUGAGUACAGGUGAGGUAGGCGGAAUUCGUGGUGUAGCGGUGAAAUGCGUAGAUAUCACGAAGAACUCCGAUGGCGAAGGCAGCUUACUAAACUGCCACUGACAUUGAUGCUCGAAAGUGUGGGUAUCAAACAGGAUUAGAUACCCUUGUAGUC
rnacentral:rRNA from 1 species